UUGAUCUUACUAUGUACGUAU
rnacentral:piRNA from 1 species